rnacentral:rRNA from 1 species
GACGUAGGGUGCGAGCGUUGUCCGGAUUUAUUGGGCGUAAAGAGCUCGUAGGCGGCUCGUCGCGUCGACCGUGAAAACCCGCGGCUUAACUGCGGGCUUGCGGUUGAUACGGGCGGGCUAGAGUUCGGUAGGGGAGACUGGAAUUCCUGGUGUAGCGGUGAAAUGCGCAGAUAUCAGGAAGAACACCAAUGGCGAAGGCAGCUCUCUGGGACGGUACUGACGCUGAGACGCGAAAGCGUGGGGAGCGAACAGG